rnacentral:RNase_P_RNA from 2 species
GAAGCUGACCAGACAGUCGCCGCUUCGUCGUCGUCCUUUCGGGGAGACGGGCGGAGGGGAGGAAAGUCCGGGCUCCAUAGGGCAGGGUGCCAGGUAACGCCUGGGGGGGAAACCCACGACCAGUGCAACAGAGAGCAGACCGCCGAUGGCCCACGUAAGUGGGAUCAGGUAAGGGUGAAAGGGUGCGGUAAGAGCGCACCGCGCGGCUGGUAACAGUCCGUGGCACGGUAAACUCCACCCGGAGCAAGGCCAAAUAGGGGUUCAUAAGGUACGGCCCGUACUGAACCCGGGUAGGCUGCUUGAGCCAGUGAGCGAUUGCUGGCCUAGAUGAAUGACUGUCCACGACAGAACCCGGCUUAUCG